GGAGUGUGAAUGAUAUUCCUGGCUGGCUGAAGGAGCGACAGGACCUCUGACAGAGCAGUUGCUGGCAGGAGAGCAAGACUGAACUCUUGGGUGGCACUGGGAAUGAGUACAAGACUUCAGCACUAUGGGGUUUGUGUUUGUUUUCACAGACUGUGUGUGACUCAGCUAGAGGGCUGAGUUGCUGAAGACUUACUACAAUCAUAGAGGAAAAAGAGUGCAGGCACAGGUACUCAGCCAGGGGCUGCUUUUGAGAGGAGGUGAAAGCAAGCAGGAAGAGGUCAAUUAUUGCUGAUUGCUAGUAUUUUAUAAAGGAGAAGGUAAAUACUACCUGGAUCGAGCUGAAUAACUGUUCGGGGCCCCUACUCAAAUGACCGUCUCUUGCUACUGAAGAUCUUGGUUUAAGAAACUAUCCACUAUGAAUGAUGGAUUAACAGCAGAGAUCCCUGCUUAUUAUACCCAAUGGGAGAGAAGCUACCAUAGAAGCUACAGUUGGUUGCCAGGAUUUAACAUCUGCAGUGAAUACGUGGGCUGGGAUGAAUUCCCAUUUAAAGGAGCCACUGCGGGGGGCCUGCUAGCUUUUGCGAUGUUGUAAUUCUAAUUUUCUUGCUCAUUAGGAAGAUAAAAGAUCAACUGUCUUUAUUUCCCAGCUUGAUGUAAUGUACAAUGUCAAUGAUACGGAGGAAGUCCUAAAGGUGGCAAGGCAACCCAGAGAAAUAAACUCUCAGGUAAAUAUCAGACUUCUUCCUGACUAUGGCCCAGAGCUAGUAAAGGAGAAGAAGGAUUUUUGAAGAAACUAAAUGUAAAUUGAGAGAACUGGGUGAUGUAUAUAUUUUAGUAUAUUCAGCAAAACUCCCAGGAUGACCGAGAAGUAGACAAGCUUUGUGGAAACAGGACAUGCAUAAGAUGAUGUUGGAACUUCACUGUUUAUUGAUUAAAGUAACAAGACUUUGCUGCUA